rnacentral:rRNA from 1 species
CGCUGGCGGCGUGCCUAACACAUGCAAGUCGAACGAAGCUCCGUGAAGCAAGACUUCGGUCAAGCGGAACGGAUGACUGAGUGGCGGACGGGUGAGUAACGCGUGAGGAACCUGCCUUUCAGUGGGGGACAACAGUUGGAAACGACUGCUAAUACCGCAUGAAGUACGUUGGGGGCAUCCCCGAUGUACCAAAGAUUUAUUGCUGAAAGAUGGCCUCGCGUCUGAUUAGAUAGUUGGUGAGGUAACGGCCCACCAAGUCGACGAUCAGUAGCCGGACUGAGAGGUUGAACGGCCACAUUGGGACUGAGAUACGGCCCAGACUCCUACGGGAGGCAGCAGUGGGGAAUAUUGGGCAAUGGGGGAAACCCUGACCCAGCAACGCCGCGUGAAGGAAGAAGGCUUUCGGGUUGUAAACUUCUUUUACCAGGGACGAAGGACGUGACGGUACCUGGAGAAAAAGCCACGGCUAACUACGUGCC